UACGUAGGGUGCGAGCGUUAAUCGGAAUUACUGGGCGUAAAGCGCGCGCAGGCGGUCCUUUAAGUCUGAUGUGAAAGCCCACGGCUCAACCGUGGAGGGUCAUUGGAAACUGGGGGACUUGAGUGCAGAAGAGGAAAGCGGAAUUCCACGUGUAGCGGUGAAAUGCGUAGAGAUGUGGAGGAACACCAGUGGCGAAGGCGGCUUUCUGGUCUGUAACUGACGCUGAGGCGCGAAAGCUAGGGGAGCAAACAGG
rnacentral:rRNA from 1 species